CGGCGGACGGGUGAGUAAUACUUAGGAAUCUACCUAGUAGUGGGGGAUAGCACGGGGAAACUCGUAUUAAUACCGCAUACGACCUACGGGAGAAAGGGGGCAGUUUACUGCUCUCGCUAUUAGAUGAGCCUAAGUCGGAUUAGCUAGAUGGUGGGGUAAAGGCCUACCAUGGCGACGAUCUGUAGCUGGUCUGAGAGGAUGAUCAGCCACACCGGGACUGAGACACGGCCCGGACUCCUACGGGAGGCAGCAGUGGGGAAUAUUGGACAAUGGGGGAAACCCUGAUCCAGCCAUGCCGCGUGUGUGAAGAAGGCCUUUUGGUUGUAAAGCACUUUAAGCAGUGAAGAAGACUCUUCGGUUAAUACCCGGAGACGAUGACAUUAGCUGCAGAAUAAGCACCGGCUAACUCUGUGCCAGCAGCCGCGGUAAUACAGAGGGUGCAAGCGUUAAUCGGAAUUACUGGGCGUAAAGGGAGCGUAGGUGGCUCGAUAAGUCAGAUGUGAAAUCCCCGGGCUCAACCUGGGAACUGCAUCUGAUACUGUUGAGCUAGA
rnacentral:rRNA from 1 species